rnacentral:rRNA from 1 species
AAUGAACGCUGGCGGCAUGCCUAACACAUGCAAGUCGAGCGGAUGAAGGGAGCUUGCUCCUGGAUUCAGCGGCGGACGGGCGAGUAAUGCCUAGGAAUCUGCCUUGUAUAUGGGGAUAACGUCCCUAAACGGGCGCUAAUACCACAUCCGUCCUUAUGUUGAAAGUGGGGGAUCUUCGGACCUCACCCUAUCAGAUGAGCCUAGGUCGGAUUAGCUAGUUGGUUGGGUAAAGGCCUACCAAGGCGACGAUCCGUAACUGAUCUGAGAGGAUGAUCAGCCACACUGGAACUGAGACACGGUCCAGACUCCUACGGGAGGCAGCAGUAGGGAAUAUUGGGCAAUGGGCGAAAGCCUGAUCGAGCCAUGCCGCGUGUGUGAAGAAGGUCUUCGGAUUGUAAAGCUCUGUAAGUAGGGAGGAAGAGAAGUAAGUUAAUCCAUUGCUGUUUUGACGUUACCAACAGAAUAAGCCACGGCUAACUUCGUG